rnacentral:lncRNA from 1 species
AGAGAGAGAGAGAGAGACUCCAUUUGUCUUGGAGAAAAGGAAAGAGAACAAUAGUCUAUUAAUCCAGAGAAUUCUGAAUCUUGGCCAAGAUCAUCAAGGAUCAAGGCAGUACUUAUAUGAGUCUGCAAGAGCCACAGCAUUAUUGGUCCUGGUGUGGCCCCUAAAUCAGAUACAGCUUAGAUCUGUACAACACCCAAGUCCUUUCAAAUAUCUGGAAAGCCUUCCCAAGAAGAACAAAUAUAAACAGUACAAGACUUAAGACUAUAACAAAUGUUAAUUCUUCAUGCCCAAACACAGAUAAACAUCUACAAGUAUAAAGACAUUACAAAAAAACAUGACCUCACCAAAUGAACUAAGUAAGCCACUAGGGAACAAUCCUGGAUAAAAAGAGAUAUUUGACCUUUCAGACAGAGUAUUCAAAAUAGCUGUGUUGAGGAAACUCAAAGAAAUUGAAGAUAACACAGGGGAAAAAAAUCAAGCAGAAAUCUGCAGCUGAAAAAAAUGCAACUGGCAUAGAGAAGAAUGCACCAAAGUAUUUUAAAAGCAGAAUUAAUCACAGAGAAAAAAGAACUAGUGAGCUUGAAGACAGGCUAUUUGAAAAUACAAAGUGAGAGAAUUCAAAAGUAAAAACAAUGAAGCACACAUACAGGAUCUAGAAAAUAGUCUCAAAAAGGCAAAUCUAAGAGUUAUUGGCCUUGAAGAAGAGGUAGAGAGAUAGGAGUAGAAUGUUUAUUCCAAGGUAUCAUAACAGAAAACGUCUCAAAGCUAGAAAAAGAUAUCAAUAUCCAAGUACAUGAAGGUUAUGGAACCAGAUUUAACCCAAAGAAGACUAUUUCAAGGCAUUUAAUAAUCAAAUUCCCAAAGAAUAAAGAAAGUAUCCUAAAAGGAACAGCAAUAAAAAAGAAACAAGCAUGCAAUGAAACUCUAAUAUGUCCGGCAGCAGACUUUUCAGUGGAAACUUUAAAAAUCAGGAGAGAGUGGCAUGACAUAUUUAAAGUGCUGAAAGAAAAGCACUUUUACCCUAGAAGAGUAUAUCUGUAAAAAAUCGUCUUCAAACAUAAAAGAAAAAUAAAGACUUUUCCAAACAAACAAAAGCUGAGGAAUUUCAUCAACACAAGACCUAUUCUACAAGAAAUGCUAAAGGGAGUUCUUCAAUGUUGGGGUGACCAGAUCCAACACCAGGUCGUGGGGUCAACAAAGUCUGGUGGAGUCAAAGGAUUGAGAAAAGACAGUUUGAGAGAGAGAAGUGGUACCAGGGGGCCAUCGCCAUCAUGGAGGCUGCAAAGGCCCAGCUCAGGGAGCCCACACUAUUUAUUGGUAAUCCAACAAAGAAAGAGGUGGUUGGAGUUCGAAAGGGCAGCUGCAUGAUCUACAGCUGUGAUGGUUUAGCAUUUAUAUGGAACAUGUUCUGCUACUUGAGAAAAUGGGAAUAGGAGCCUAAGAGGGCUAGAAGCAAGGAGCUAGCAAGUCUAGACACAUUCCAGAGGACAUUAUGUCAUUCAUGCAAGCCCCGCCUCAGCUUUCUUCCCAACCCUCAGCUUUUUUCCCAACAUGCCCCCCUUCUCUUUUUUGUAAAAGAGAAGGUAUCAUUAUUAUUAUCAUUAUUACUAGCUAUCAUUAUUGCUAGAGUCACUCUGGUUUGAAUGCUUCCAACAUAUCUCCCCUUUCCCUUUUACAAGAGGACCCUUAAUCCUAGAGGUUGCAGAAGGAUGAAGGUCUAUCUUCUGUAACUUCUUCAUGCUGAGUAGGGAUGAUGAUACUCCUGCCUAACUAUUAGGGUCUCUUUUAUACAGCGUAGAGAGGAACUGAGUCAGAAAGCAUUGGUCCAUUAAGCAUCAUGACUCUGGUCGGUCUUCGUUCCAUCUUCGCAUUCAGAUUCAACUGGCUCAUGGCUCAUACUAGGGGAUCCCAGUCCAUGGUUGGGAUCCAUGGGUCCCUCCAGUCUCCCAUUCCAUGGUUGUACACAUCUAGAGGGCAUCCACAUGGUUAGUUCAUCUCCUGCAAAAACACAAGCAUACCCUCACCCCCACAUUAGUAAAUCUACUGAAACAGAAGCAAAAACUUUUGUGGCUGUAGCCGGGAGGCCACUGAUAAUGAGAAACAGUCCCCUUCUAACGAAGGCACAGGGAAGGCAAAUUGAGGCUUUUCAAACCUUCAAUUUGCACUGUACAGGUGGGUCCACUAGAUGCUGUGGCUCAUGAUAGAUCUUCAGAUAUUUGGUGGGCACCCACACAGGCACCUGAUUGUCACCUGGAGAGACACAAGCAAAUCCUCUUCCCCAUAUACUUUUCUUUUUCCCAGCUCUUUGUACGUGCAUCCCUCCAACAUAUAUCUUGUCCAGCCUUUUUAUUUUCCUUUUGCCCUUCACGUGUUAUUCCACCGCAGUUAUGGGUUGAUCUUUUUGUAAAUUUAAGAAAUUUAAUGUUAAUAAAGCUAGAUGCAGUUGCAUAUGCGGUGUUUUAUGUUCCUGGUCUCCUGCCUUCUACUUUUGUAUUUGAGUUUUUAAAGUACGAUUAGCUCUUUCCACUAUUGCCUGUCCUUGUGAAUUAUAUGGAAUACCCAUAGUAUGGGCAAUAUUCCGUUGUUGAAAAAAUGUAGCCAUGGCUUUACUACAGUAUCCUGGGCUGUUACCAGUUUUGAUUUUUUCUGGAAUUCCCAUAACAGAAAAACAAGAUAAAAGACAUCUUUUAACAUGAGCUGUAGCCUCCCCUGUUUGACAUGUGGCCCAGAUAAAAUGUGAAUAGGUAUCUACUGAAACAUGAACAAAGGACAAUUUUCCAAAAGCAGGAAUAUGUGUUACAUCCAUCUGCCAGAUGGGAUUUGGAGAUAAACUUCUAGGGUUAACUCCUGUUCCUUGAUGUGGCAAAUGCAGAACUUGGCAGGCAGAAAAGUGUUGCACAAUUUCUUUAGCUUGUUUCUACGAUAGACCAUAUCUUUUUCUAAGGCCUGCAGCAUUAUGAUGGGUUAAAGAAUGAAAUGUCUGUGCAUCAGCAAAAGUUGCAGACACCAAUGCAUCCACCCUUUAAGUUUAGUUAAAGGGCCAGGGAGGUUAGUAUGUGCUCUCAUAUGAGUGAUAUGAAAAGGUAAGUGCCUUUGUUGUACCACUUGCUGUAAAGAAUGAAAUAAAAAAUUAAGUUGUUCAUCAGUCACAUUUUGAAUUAAGGCACAUUCAAUAUUUUGUGUGACUUGCCCUACAUAGGCUGAAUUGGAAACAAUGUUUACUGGCUGUUUAAAAGUUUUUAACACUGUUAUCACAGCCAUAAGUUCAG